UUCCUUCUUCGUGUCUAUACCCCGUCAUGAGAUUUCUGUUACCAGACGGUCUUUAGAUACAGUUUUCUUAAUAAAAUACUCCUGUGUAUUACACGGAUUCACCAAUUUUUGCCACCAAGAAAAGGUCGUGUACCUUGGCAUGAUUCAUGAUGGUGUCUCGAACGAAUCAAUGAAAUGAGUCCCGAUCUGGUCCGCUGGGCGGACAUCUUCGGGAGAACGAUGGUAAUAUGUAUGUAAUUUAGUAAUUGGCCGAUACCCCGUUAGUUAGUUAAUUAGUUUAAAAACCUACCUAAUAAGUAUAUUACACUUCGGUACAUGGUACAUCAUAUAAUUUUUAUUUUUGCAUCCAGAUGUAUACGAAAUAGGUAUCUAAUAUAUUAC